rnacentral:pre_miRNA from 1 species
GAAACACCCCUCCGGGGCAAGACUUGCUUCAGCGGGGCUUUGGUGCUCACUGAGUCUGCCCCCUGAGUGUGUCCUU